GACGAACGCUGGCGGCGUGCUUAACACAUGCAAGUCGAACGGAAAGGCCUCUUUCGGGGGGUACUCGAGUGGCGAACGGGUGAGUAACACGUGAGUAACCUGCCCUUGACUUUGGGAUAACUUCAGGAAACUGGGGCUAAUACCGGAUAGGAGCUCCUGCUGCAUGGUGGGGGUUGGAAAGUUUCGGCGGUUGGGGAUGGACUCGCGGCUUAUCAGCUUGUUGGUGGGGUAGUGGCUUACCAAGGCUUUGACGGGUAGCCGGCCUGAGAGGGUGACCGGCCACAUUGGGACUGAGAUACGGCCCAGACUCCUACGGGAGGCAGCAGUGGGGAAUAUUGCACAAUGGGUGGAAGCCUGAUGCAGCAACGCCGUGUGCGGGAUGACGGCCUUCGGGUUGUAAACCGCUUUCGCUCAUGACGAAGCUUUGUGUGACGGUAGUGGGUAAAGAAGCACCGGCUGACUACGUG
rnacentral:rRNA from 1 species